GAUGAACGCUGGCGGCGUGCCUAAUACAUGCAAGUCGAGCGAACGGACGAGAAGCUUGCUUCUCUGAUGUUAGCGGCGGACGGGUGAGUAACACGUGGAUAACCUACCUAUAAGACUGGGAUAACUUCGGGAAACCGGAGCUAAUACCGGAUAAUAUUUUGAACCGCAUGGUUCAAAAGUAAAAGACGGUCUUGCUGUCACUAAUAGAUGGAUCCGCGCUGCAUUAGCUAGUUGGUAAGGUAACGGCUUACCAAGGCAACGAUGCAUAGCCGACCUGAGAGGGUGAUCGGCCACACUGGAACUGAGACACGGUCCAGACUCCUACGGGAGGCAGCAGUAGGGAAUCUUCCGCAAUGGGCGAAAGCCUGACGGAGCAACGCCGCGUGAGUGAUGAAGGUCUUCGGAUCGUAAAGCUCUGUUAUUAGGGAAGAACAUAUGUGUAAGUAACUGUGCACAUCUUGACGGUACCUAAUCAGAAAGCCACGGCUAACUACGUG
rnacentral:rRNA from 1 species